AUAAAGUGGAGAGGAAAUAUGGCUAUAAUUAUAAAGUUUUAUAGUUUUUUAAUUAUCUUUCUAUUCCUACCUCUUGUUUUAAUAAAGGUUGAAGCAUUUAGACAUAAAUGCUUACAGCAUACAGAUUGUUACAGAAUUAUGUGUCGACGUCCAGCCAUACCUAAGUGUGAUGUUUCAAAGCAAUCUAAGAACUCCAUCAAUGGAGGAAAAACAAUGAACGAAAAUUGAUAAAGAUGGAGAAGAAAGAGUGAUCUUCAUUAUUUUCUCUAACUGAAAACGGUUACACAGUAUGAUACAUAUAUAGUUAGCUAAUGCCACGUCACUCAAUCUAACUAACUAACUACCAUCAUGCACACGUGAAGAUUAUAUGAUAGUAACCAUGCACACGUGAGGUUUCAUGAUCAGACUAGUUUAUGCAUCUGCCUGUGUUAAUUUGCUCUUUAUUUUCAUCAGUUAUUACCCCCCCACAAGCUUGAGGCUGGUAGAUAUCAACCAAACCAAGCUUGGAGAUACAAUCAAAGAAAGGACGUGGGCCAAGGGACUUUGUGAACACAUCUGCAGCUUGUUGUUGCGAAGUAACCGGGAGUAAACGCAUAAGACCAGCCUGCAGUUUCUCCCUAACCAAGUGACAAUCAAUGUCAAGAUGUUUCGUCCGUUCGUGGAACACGGGAUUGGCAGAGAUAUGUAAAGCACUUUGAUUGUCACAAUAAAGAACAGGCAAACGAGACGGAUGUUGGUGCAAAUCAUGAAGGAGAAAACAUAGCCAUUGGAGUUCGCGAGUUGCUGAAGCAAGUGCACGGUAUUCUGCCUCAGCAGAAGAACAACUAACGGUGGCUUGCUUCUUAGACUUCCAAGACACGAGCGAUUGACCAAUAAAGAAGCAAUAACCUGUAAUAGAGCGUCGUGUGUCAAUGCAGCCUCCCCAAUCAGCAUCACUAAAUCCUAAAAUUUGGAGACUUGAAGCUUUGGGCAAGAAAAUGCCACGUGCAGGUGAUCUUUUGAGAUAACGAAGCACAUGUAGAGCAGCCCGGUAGUGAACUUCAGUAGGAGCACUCAUGAACUGACUCAAUUGCUGAGUGGCAUAAGCAAUAUCAGGUCUGGUUGUAGUGAGAUAGAGCAAUCUUCCAACCAAACGUCUAUAAGCAGUGAUGUCCGUGAAGGCAGAACUGUUGUCUUGAUGAAGACGAGUGGAGGCAUCUAAAGGAGUUGAAGCAGGCUUGCAGCCACUAAGACCUGAAUCAUGGAGUAACUCCAAACAAUAUUUUCUUUGGCAAAGAGUAAUGCCCUUGGAUGAACGUGCAACCUCGAGCCCAAGAAAAAACUUCAGUUGACCUAAGUCCUUGAUGUGAAAUGUGUGGUCCAACGCAGCUUUUAAUUCUUCAAAAACUGUGAGGGAAGUGCCUGCCAAGAUUAUGUCAUCAACGUACACGAGGAGAGCUGUAAAUGAAGUAGGAGAGGAUUUAGUAAAUAACGUGUGAUCUGCAUGGGCAUGAACAAAACCUUGAGCAUGAAGAAACGUUGUUAACUUUUCAAACCAUUGCCGGCUAGCUUGCUUUAAGCCAUAUAACGACUUGAUUAGUCUACACACCUGGCCAGGUUUUGGAGAAGACACACCAUUGGGCACUUUCAUGUAGACUGCCUCAUGUAGGUCACCAUGUAGGAAGGCGUUAUUUACGUCUAGUUGAUGUAAAUGCCACCCGUGAAUGGCAGCUAAGGCUAGGAGCACACGAACAGUUGAAAGUUUGGCUACAGGAGAGAAGGUUUCGAAAUAAUCUAACCCUUCAGUCUGAUUAAAACCUUGAGCCACAAGACGCGCCUUAAACCGUUCAAUAGAACCAUCUGCAUGCCUCUUAAUUUUGAAAACCCACUUGUUUCCAAUGGGAAUAGCAUUAGGUGGCAGAUCCACAAACUCCCAUGUGUUAUUGCUGUUCAGGGCUUCAAUUUCUUUGUCCAUAGCUGCAACCCAGCGAGGAUCCUUAGAAGCAUUGAGAAAAUUUGAAGGUUCAACUUCAGAAGCUAAUGCCAUGAUGUAUGCCUUAUGCUUAGGAGAAAUUCCAGAAUAGGAGAUAGAAUCAGUGAGAGGAUAAGAGCAUGAUGGAGAAGUAUAGGAGUUGCAAACAUAGUCUUUAAGAUGACUAGGAGGCUUUGCAACUCGAAGGGAUUUUCUGGAUGCAAGGUGGGAAGAAGUAUUGGUGGAUGGUGGUGAUGAAGGUUUAGAAAGAGUGGCUAUAUCAUCUGAUGUGAAUGACAAUUCAGAUGAAGAAGAAAUAGGAGAGGUAUUUUGAGGUUCAAUGCUGGAAAGAAGUGGAACCGGAGCAGAUUCCACUAUAGGAGAGACAUCAUUACUAUGAGGAAUGGCCAAGUCACAAACUGAUGGUGAAUAAGUUUGCCCUUGGUCAGAAUAAGUAGUAGAGUGGGAAGAAUUAUGCUCAGGACAAUCAAUACCAUCCUGGUCAAGGUAAAUAUCUGUUGGAACAUCAUCAUUACCAAGAGUUUUGAAUGGAAAUUCAAGGUCAUAGAACUUCACAUUGCGAGACACAAGAAUGUCAUGAUCAAUAACAUCCACAAGUAUAAAACCUUUCAUACCUGGCUUGUAACCCAAGAAAGCACACUUGCGUGCUCUUGCAUCAAAUUUGUGUCGAUUAUUUGGUAAAGUCGAGGCAUAACCCAGGCAACCAAACACCUUUAAAGAACUGAGGUCUGGGGCAGAGCCAUAUAACACCUCAUAAGACGACCUAUUAUUCAGGAUCUUUGUUGGAAUUCUAUUCAUAAGAAAAACUGCAUGAAGAACCGCGUAGGACCAGUAUUCUUUUGCCAAUCCAGAUUGAAACAUGAGUGCACGGCUGAUAUUUAGAAUGUGUUGGUGUCGUCUUUCAACUCUACCAUUUUGUUGUGGAGUGUACACACAACUCUUUUGAUGAAUUAUUCCCUUAGAAGCAUAAUACACGGGCAUGGCCAACUCAACACCAUUGUCACUCCUGACAAUCUUAACUGUGGACUCAUGCUGUGUCUCUACCAUGUUAAUAAAAUCUUUGAUUUUAUGUGAUGCUUCAGACUUAGUUUUAAGCAUUACCACCCACACAUGCCUACUACAGUCAUCAAGAAUAGUUAAGAAAUAUCUAUAACCAUGAACAGAAGGAGUAUUAAAGGGUCCCAAAAUAUCUAAAUGCACAAGUUCAAAAACUUUAUUUGCAUUAUGAUUACUGAUGGGAAAUGGCAGAAUUUUCUGUCUUGCUUGCUGACAAACAUCACAUGCACCAUGAAUACCACUAGGAAUGUAACUGUACAUUUUACUCAUACAACUCAUUCUAUCAAAAGAGAGAUGUCCUAGUCUAAGAUGCCACAAUACACUAGGUGGCACCUUUGUUUCAUUUACAACUUUCUUAUUUACAAACACACUAGAAACAAGACCUACAUCAUUGGUCCUUCUUGCAUCCAAGUGAUAUAGUCCAUUGAGCUCUUUAGCCAAACCAAUCCUCUUCAAAUCCUUCUUUCCCUGUAUCAUACAGCCAUCAGUACUAAAAACAAGAUUACAAUCCUGCUCUCUACAAAGCUUUGACACAGAUAUUAGAUUGACUUCAAAUUGUGGCAAAUAAAGCACAUUUUGAAUAGUAAGCAAUUCUGAAAGUUUCACAUUGCCUGAAACUGAAGCUAUAAUAGAAUUCCCAUUUGGUAAGUUAACAGUGAUAGGACUUAUCUCAGUAUAUGUAUCAAACCAAUCUAUGGAAAAACAAAUGUGAUGAGUAGCUCCAGUAUCGAGUAACCAAUCAUUUUUAUCAUGGCUACUAAAACAGGUUAUAGAAGAAUUACCUCCUCCUUUGGUCAAAUUGAUAGAACCUGUACUCUUCUCCAGCAAAGUCAUUAAGGAUUGAUACUGCUCCUUGGUUAGAGUCAUACUUCCACUCUCACUAGUAGAUCCAACAGAUGACUUUGUCUCUGCUUCUUCACUUUCAACUUGAUUCACAUAAGAGUUUCCUCUACCAUUGUUUGGAGGAUAACCAUGCUUCUUGUAGCAUCCAUCAACAAUGUGGCCAGUUUUGCCACAAUAGGUACAAACCUUGAUAUUUCCUCUUCCUCUUCCUUGGUAUUGGUUACCAUUUCCUCUUCCUCUUCCAUAUUGCUUUUGUCCUUCUACGGCAUUCACUAACCCUGCAUUCUCAUCAGUCACACUCGUGCCUAACACACUUGCUCCAUACUGCAGCUUCCUCUCUUGUUGCAUCACCAAAGAGAAAACUCUGUUUAUAGGGGGCAUAGGAUCCAUCAGCAAUACUUGCGAUGUACACCUUGAUACUCCUCAUUCAAUCCAAUCAGAAAUUGAAUUAUCCUGUCCUCAGAUUUGAAAUUCUUAACAUUUCUCAUAGUUAAGCAUGUGCAUGGAAUACGACAAGUACAAUUUGGAACAGGCCUAUAUUGGUCUAAUUCUUCCCAUAAUCCUCUCAAUUCAGUGAAAUAAUCUGUAAUCUUCUUGUUACCUUGUUUGAGAUUGGAGAUUUCUUGAUGCAAUUGUGCAACUCUAAUGCGAUCUCCUCUCAUGAACCGAUCCUUAAGAUCAUUCCACAUGUCAAUAGCAUUAUCAAUGAACACAACACUCUGAGCUAUUGAAGGCGCAGUUGAAUUAAUGAUCCACGUGUGUACCAAAUUGUUACAUCUCUGCCAUGCUGCAUAAUUGAGAUCACCUUCAUUAGGUACUGGUAUGGAACCAUCAACAAACUUGAAUUUGUUCUUCAUAGCCAACGCUCUCCUCAUCUUCAUUGACCACGCGUGAUAGUUAUCACCAGAUAGAGCUGGUGUAACACAAACUGUAGAUGAAUUCUCCGAUGGAUGAACAUAGUAGGGAUCGAGUUGAUCCACUUGAUUUCCAUUGUUGCUGUUGUUAGUGUUUCUCGCCAUAGCUAUAUGCAGAAAGAUUAACAACGAAACAAAAUGCAGAAGAGAAAGAAAACAAGAAAGACGCGAAUCAAGAAGAAACGAAACGAAAAACGAACGAUCAAGAAUUUGCGAUCGUCAUCAAUCACCAAUCAAUCAAAUCUAGAACUCGUUAACGCAGCGGAAACAGAGCAGGAUCAACCUGCUCUGAUACCAUCAAAGCAAUCUAAGAACUCCAUCAAUGGAGGAAAAACAAUGAACGAAAAUUGAUAAAGAUGGAGAAGAAAGAGUGAUCUUCAUUAUUUUCUCUAACUGAAAACGGUUACACAGUAUGAUACAUAUAUAGUUAGCUAAUGCCACGUCACUCAAUCUAACUAACUAACUACCAUCAUGCACACGUGAAGAUUAUAUGAUAGUAACCAUGCACACGUGAGGUUUCAUGAUCAGACUAGUUUAUGCAUCUGCCUGUGUUAAUUUGCUCUUUAUUUUCAUCAGUUAUUAAUGUUCUCAGAGGAUUUUGUAAAUGUUUUUAGUCAUUCUUAAGUCAACAUUACUUCAAGAAUCUAGUAGCUAUGGAUUUGUACUCUAAGAUGAUGGUUAAUAUUUUUAUUACUUAAGAUGAAAUAUAAUUUCUAUCUUGCCUCUAAGCCUAUAAUUAUAUAUUUAUGCUAAUAUAUAUUACACUUAAAAUAUCUUGUUCAGUUUUAAAAGAGAUAUAGAAAAGUAAAACGUCACUACAAAACUAUAAAUAUACUACAACAAUUGUGAAUAUAUGUUGAUUUGAAAAUAGAAA